CGUAAGCACCAAAACAAAGAUCGUAAGAAUGAAAGGAAGGAUCUUUCUUGAGAGAGCUGACAAGAAGACAGAGAAGAAGGAAACUGUAAGAAUUAGAGAUACAAAUCGGUGAAGAAAGGAGCAAAGAUUAUAUAUGUUAGCUGAAAGGGUUUUUACCGUGUUCACGAAUCACGAGGAGGCUGGCGAAAAGGAAAUAUACGAAGGGACACAGAAACAAAGACAGAGAUAUUUUUACAACGGCUUAUCUACGUUGUGAGUUUGGUCAACAUAAAUUCGCUGGGAAUAAUUGAAUUUAGAGAAAUACUUUUGCAUAUCGCUAAAUCAUAUCUUAUGACAAAAUUAAUGUAUAAUUAAAAAUAAUAACAUUUACUAAAAAAAAUUAUAGUUGGAUUUAUAGUUUUUUAAUGUAUGUGUUUGUGGUUUGGUUUUUAAAAGUGAAAAUGUGAUAAAAUUUAAGUAUUAAAGUAAUUUAGCUUCUUCCUUUUUUUCUUAAUCAAAUUAGUCUUAUUUUGAAAAAUAUAGUACUAGAUAUUUUUUGGAUAAUUUUAAAACUGCUAUUUUAGAAAAUUUUCCUUUUUAUUUAUCUUUUCUUUUUUGAAAGAGAGUUAAUUUAGAUUACCUCCUCAACACAUUGGUUUAGAUUACACAAGAAUGAAAAGUGUUCUCGAAUGAAAAUUUAGAUUACACGUUGAAAAUUUUCCCUUUUAUUUAUUAAUUUUCCAUUUCUAAAGUGUUUCAUAUCGCCGAAAAAAAGUUUUUUUUCUUUCACAUCUGCACAGCUGUACUUCUCGAAUGAGUAUUCCGCAUGGUUGCUUUGACUUUAAUCUCUUCACUUCAGUUUACUGUCUUGGAACUCGUCUAAAACUUUGUGCUCUCUCACCAAAGCCAAAGACCGUGGAUGCCAAAAUCUGCCGCAUGUUUACCGGAUAUUGGAUAGCAGCAACUACGCUUUGUAUCGCAAUAGGCUCCUGACCACUGCGCAAAUGCUUUCGAAACAAAUUAAUUUUAGCUGUAUAUUUCUUACUUAUAUUAAUUAACAUCAGAAUUUUAAAUUUUACGGGGUACAUAUCUGUAAAAACAAUGAUGAACUUGAGAUAAAGCAGAGUACG